ACUUGUAUAUAUCUGAUAUGCUUUUAUAAUUACUGUUGUAUUAAAUAAUUAUUGAUAGAUCUAGAUUAGCAGCAAUCAGUGCUAUUAUCACCAACUCAAAAUCUAGGUUACUUAAGGUGAGCCUGGUAACUGAUGGUUUUGGGGUCUUGUUGUUUGUAACUUUUGGUGAGCCAUGACAGUAUAUAACUAA